CCUACGGUGAGCAGCAGUCGAGAAUCAUUCACAAUGGGGGAAACCCUGAUGGUGCGACGCCGCGUGGGGGAAUGAAGGUCUUCGGAUUGUAAACCCCUGUCAUGUAGGAGCAAAUUAAAAAGAUAGUACCACAAGAGGAAGAGACGGCUAACUCUGUGCCAGCAGCCGCGGUAAUACAGAGGUCUCAAGCGUUGUUCGGAAUCACUGGGCGUAAAGCGUGCGUAGGCUGUUUCGUAAGUCGUGUGUGAAAGGCGCGGGCUCAACCCGCGGACGGCACAUGAUACUGCGAGACUAGAGUAAUGGAGGGGGAACCGGAAUUCUCGGUGUAGCAGUGAAAUGCGUAGAUAUCGAGAGGAACACUCGUGGCGAAGGCGGGUUCCUGGACAUUAACUGACGCUGAGGCGCGAAGGCCAGGGGAGCGAAAGGGAUUAGAUACCCGGGUAGUC
rnacentral:rRNA from 1 species